GGGGAGUUUGGCCAGAGAGGGAAGGGGCGUAGCAUAAAAUGUUUUGGGGACAGACGAGUCAUUUUAGAGCUUCCAGUUCAGGGCUCGCGGGCCGGACACAGAGAGCAGUGCUCUCCCCAGGAGGACAGGUUGGCAGCGAGGAAGCGGAGCCGGAGCCAUCCCCUGGCCCAGGUGAGAGGAAGAUGAAGGUCCUGCUGACGCUGGCCGUGCUGCUUGCCUACAGUGUGUUCACGGCUCGUGGGAAGCACCCCCGCACGUUCGCACCGGGACUCGAGGGAAGCACCGUAGGAAAUCUGACCGCCCACAGCUGCUACUCGGCCAGCGGCACAUCGAGGGCUUCAAUGGACCGGUGCUGCCGGCUCCGUGCCUGCUGCUACGCCAGGCUGGCUGCACGGCGAUGCCGCCUGGGACCGAUCCAGCCCAUCUCGGUGCCCGGGGCAGGAAUCCCCACCUGCAGUGAGUCCCCACCAUCGCGGUUUGGGAUGCCUCUUUCCAGACCACCUCCCUCCUUUGUGGUUCCCCUUUUACGGGGCGGAACCCCAGGGAUCUUCCCAAAAAGAUGGUCUCAGAUGUGCUUUCUCUCCGAUUCUUGCAGGGUCCGGGACCUGGUGCCAGCGAGGUGCCUGCAGAUGCGAGCGGGCAGCCCAGCUCUGCCGGCUGCGUGGCCGGGGGAUGCCCCGGCGUCGCAGCAAGUGCCGGGGACGAGCCGGGCGGUGUUGAAGCAAAAGGGCUUUUUUUUAUAUAUAUAUAUAUAAUUUUUUUUUGCAAAACCACCUCCAAGCUGGGUAAGAAAAGGGACGGAGGAGCAUUUCCCAACCCUGGCAGGUCUCCUCCUCGGGGCUUUUUUGGCUUCGGCAUGAGGACAACAACCCUCUGGUGAAGUUGCGUCACUGUACACUGGAUCCGAGGAGGGAGAGCGGCGCAGAUGCAAUGUUUCAGCACAGAAAAACAAGGGAGGGGUGGCCACCUGCGCCUCAUCCCGGCAAAGAGCGAGGUGGAAACCAGCGCGAGCCUCUCCGCUGACACUCAUUUCCCCUUGGCUCCAGCUCCCCGUGCAGCCUGUCAGCUCCCUCUGCUUUUUGCUUCGCUGCAAAUUCUCUUCCGUUGCUCCAAAAUAAAACCAGAGAGCACAAAACA
rnacentral:lncRNA from 1 species